AGCGAACGCUGGCGGCAGGCCUAACACAUGCAAGUCGAACGAAGUCUUCGGACUUAGUGGCGGACGGGUGAGUAACACGUGGGAACGUACCUUUUGGUUCGGAACAACUCAGGGAAACUUGAGCUAAUACCGGAUGAGCCCUGAGGGGGAAAGAUUUAUCGCCUAAAGAGCGGCCCGCGUUAGAUUAGCUAGUUGGUGGGGUAAAGGCUCACCAAGGCUACGAUCUAUAGCUGGUCUGAGAGGAUGAUCUGCCACACUGGGACUGAGACACGGCCCAGACUCCUACGGGAGGCAGCAGUGGGGAAUCUUGCGCAAUGGGCGAAAGCCUGACGCAGCCAUGCCGCGUGAAUGAUGAAGGUCUUAGGAUUGUAAAAUUCUUUUACCAGGGACGAUAAUGACGGUACCUGGAGAAAAAGCCCCGGCUAACUUCGUGCCAGCAGCCGCAGUAAAAC
rnacentral:rRNA from 1 species